CGCCACUGCCCAUCUCACCUGCGGUCUCUCUGUGCUGUCUCAUUAGUAGAUCGGGCAGCCUGUCAUCACAGUUGUAACGGCAACAAGUACCCUUCCCCUCCCCAUUCCGUCUGCCCGACAUCAUCCUUCCUGUCUCUGCAACGCCGAACAACGGCGAGGAAGCAGACACCCUUCAUUGAGCACAGGGAGGUGCGUGCGCGCGGGGCGGGCGGGUCACCUGCUCAGCCGCUCUUCUCCAUCCGUGCUUUUGCUUCUGUAGGAUCUUAGCCCUGAGAAUUCUGCCUUUACGGUUCUUGUCGCGGGCGUGCGCUGCCUGCACGCAUACGACGACCACCAUUACCACCACCAUCGCCCUCCGCCAACAUUUUCUUUUCUCUCGUUGUUGCGCCCCUUUCGGCCCGCCGCGCGCAGCAUGUCAAGUGCGCCGCAGCACAACGGCGCUGCCUCCGUCAUCGUGGCGGAACGCGCCACACGCUUCUUCAUGGCGCUGUUUAUCAUCCUCGGCUACAGCGGAGCUCUUCAACACGCUGAUGCUCGUCUUGAGCGACAGGCCUACGUCGCUUAUCGCACCCCGCACCUCUGCUCAUACCAGAUCAUGCAGUCCGUCGCGUGCCCGGAUGCGAAGCCGAUGUGCUGCGUCGCUUCGUCCGCGAUCCGCUGCUGCUCGGGCACGACCUCCUGCGGUAACUGCACUGAGGAAAUCGUCGGCUACGAAAUGCCGAAGAGCAGCGUCAUCGUUGGCUGCUUCAGCUUGAGCGUUCUCGUCCUUCUGGGCAGCAUUAUCAUGUCCGGCGUGGGUCGCCACCUCGCAUGGGUGCUCGAGCACCGCCGCGUGAUUGAGAACUACCGCAAGCGCCUCCUGCUGCGCCGCGCGGAAGCGCGCGAGUUCAAGAAGGAGCUGGCCGAGACGGAAGUGAAGGACAUUGACGACACGGUGGGGUGCGUCAUUUGCUGUGCCCGUCACAUCGACGUGGCGUUGACGCCGUGUGGGCAUGUGUGCUGCUGUCAUUUCUGCGCGAAGCGUCUACGAGAGUGUCCGGUGUGCCGCAGCGCCCUCCAGCGCUGUUUUGACCUGCCGCUGUACUACGUGAAGCAGCUCCUCAGCGCUGCGGAAGCCGCGGAGGACGACAACGGCGGCGGCGUCAGCGAGUCCGCCUUAUCGCCGACAGAGAUGGCAACUAUCACCUGCGAUAGUGCCACGGCCACGAGCGCGCGGGCAGCACGGGAAGAGGACCCGCGCGGAGCGGGCGAGGCGGCUUUCGCACCCGCGACUGCUGAAGAUCACUCCGUCGAGUCCGCCAUGGCGUCGCUACACAGCAACUGCUGCAGCAGCAGCACUAGAAGCGGCAUCGUUGCAGGUAUGCACGGCAGCACAGAACGACCAACUCGUAGCACGCUGAGAGUCGUCGGUACUUCGGAGAUGGGAAUGGUCAACCCUUUUAGAAGCCGCUACUCACGUGUUCCUUACUCCGACGAAGACAACGACGGUGACGGGAGAAACAAGCGGAUGGGCAGCGGUACCGCCAGUGCGAGCCCCUUGGUGCGACGUGUGCCAGCAACCGGCGCGGUCACCUCCCCUUCGGAGGCGCGUGCCGCCGCUGUCGAGGAGGCAGACACUGCCACUUCCGGCGUCAACGCGCACCACUCGCAUGUGUACAUCUCCGUUGAGAGGUGAGAUGGCCGCGGCGUCGGGAGCAACACACACGCACAACUCCACGCCGGAACAGGGAGAGGAAGAGGAGGAGGCCAGACAGGCGCGGAUGCGAAACGGCGGGGGUCGAUGCAACCGCUUCUUCGGUGCGCCAUAGGGCAUGGGUGCUGGGCUGCUGCGCUCCUCCCCCUCCCUACGCGGUCCUCCGCCACGUGCACGCCCACUUUACAAGUUGUGCUCUGCAUUAUGACCUCGGCGCGUUCGCCUCGUUCUCUGCGCAUGAGCGUCUCGCUAUUUUGUUUUCGGUUGGUGUGUGUAUGUGUGGCGGCGCUGGCGCGCAUGUGUCUCUCGAUCACCGGCGAUGGCGUCCGAUUAGAGGGCCGAUGUGCGUUGGUCUCAUGGGGUAUCUCGUCAUCGCCGCAUCUGCAUGGAUGUGUGCUAGCCCCCGCCGCCCCCGCCCUGCCUGUCGCCUCGCUCACUUUUCAGCCUUAUUCAUGUCUCUGCAAGUCAACCGCGAGGCGCCCUCUCGCUGUGGCCCGCGCACACGCAG
rnacentral:misc_RNA from 1 species